GCCUUCGUAGUGUAGUGGUCAGCACGCUCAGUGCGCAUCCGAGAGGUCCGUGGUUCGAUUCCCGGCGAAGACG